rnacentral:rRNA from 1 species
UACGUAGGGGGCAAGCGUUGUCCGGAAUCAUUGGGCGUAAAGAGCGCGUAGGCGGCCCGGUAAGUCCGCUGUAAAAGUCCAGGGCUCAACCCUGGAAAGCCGGUGGAUACUGUCGGGCUCGAGUCCGGAAGAGGCGAGUGGAAUUCCUGGUGUAGCGGUGGAAUGCGCAGAUAUCAGGAGGAACACCAAUGGCGAAGGCGGGUCUCUGGGCCGAUACUGACGCUGAGGAGCGAAAGCGUGGGGAGCGAACAGG